rnacentral:rRNA from 1 species
CUACGGGCGGCUCCAGUGAGGAAUUUUGCGCAAUGGGGGAAACCCUGACGCAGCAACGCCGCGUGAGUGAUGAAGGCCUUCGGGUCGUAAAGCUCUGUCAAGUGGGAAGAACCUAUCCAAGGGUAAUAUUCUUGGGUACUGACGGUACCACUGAAGGAAGCACCGGCUAACUCCGUGCCAGCAGCCGCGGUAAUACGGGGGGUGCAAGCGUUAUUCGGAAUUAUUGGGCGUAAAGGGCGCGUAGGCGGUUUUGUUAGUCAGAUGUGAAAGCCCGGGGCUCAACCCCGGAAGUGCAUUUGAUACUGCAAGACUUGAGUAUGGGAGAGGGAAGUGGAAUUCCUGGUGUAGAGGUGAAAUUCGUAGAUAUCAGGAGGAACAUCUGUGGCGAAGGCGACUUCCUGGACCAAUACUGACGCUAAGGCGCGAAGGCGUGGGUAGCAAACAGGAUUAGAUACCCGUGUAGUC